UACGUAGGGGGCAAGCGUUGUCCGGAUUUACUGGGCGUAAAGAGCGUGUAGGCGGCCAAGCAGGUCCGUUGUGAAAACUGGAGGCUUAACCUUCAGACGUCGACCGAAACCAUCUGGCUAGAGUCCGGAAGAGGAGAGUGGAAUUCCUGGUGUAGCGGUGAAAUGCGCAGAUAUCAGGAAGAACACCCGUGGCGAAGGCGGCUCUCUGGGACGGUACUGACGCUGAGACGCGAAAGCGUGGGGAGCGAACAGG
rnacentral:rRNA from 1 species